rnacentral:rRNA from 1 species
CCCCGCAAGGUCGGUAUACAGGUGGUGCAUGGUUGUCGUCAGCUCGUGUCGUGAGAUGUUGGGUUAAGUCCCGCAACGAGCGCAACCCUCGUUCUAUGUUGCCAGCACGUAAUGGUGGGAACUCAUAGGAGACUGCCGGGGUCAACUCGGAGGAAGGUGGGGAUGACGUCAAAUCAUCAUGCCCCUUAUGUCUUGGGCUUCACGCAUGCUACAAUGGCCGAUACAAAGGGCUGCAAUACCGCAAGGUGGAGCGAAUCCCAAAAAGCCGGUCUCAGUUCGGAUUGAGGUCUGCAACUCGACCUCAUGAAGUCGGAGUCGCUAGUAAUCGCAGAUCAGCAACGCUGCGGUGAAUACGUUCCCGGGUCUUGUACACACCGA